CUCAUAUGUCUAGGUAGGAACCGCGUUCAGAGUUGUGGUGGCCAGUGCCUGUCCAGAGUUCUCAUUUCCAGUUUGGUUUAUCUGGUAGUCCAUGAGUUGGGAGGUCGGACUCCUACCUCUCUGCCUUUGAGGAGGUGGGAGGCCUCUGCUUGCCCCGUUUCUAUGCUCAAUUAAUUCUUCAUUGAUUAUUUCCCUUCUCAUCAUCUCUAGUAGGGCGUCAUAGGUGGUGGGGUCUUGAUUCUGCACAUCCCUCCAGAAUAGGGUGUUCAUGAUCAAGCCUCCCCUCAAUGCAGAUAGUGCUUCUCUGUUGGUGACUUGUACGCAAUAAGUCAUCUCGUCGGUGAAGCGUGAUAGGAAGUUCUUUAAGGACUCCCCAUGUGCCUGUCUCAUUUCUUGGAGACACUGGAUGGGGGCCUCUCCUUCCUUGCUCACUGCGAAUCGCUUGAAGAAUGUUGUCUUGAACUCGGGCCAGCUUCGGAUGCUCCCAAGUGGCAACCUGCUAUACCAGAUUUUAGCCGCUCCCUGAGGGUUAAGUGGAAAGCCCUGCACUUUACGGCUGGGGUGGCACCCCUCAGGCUCAUGUGAGUUUUGCUAUGUUGAGGUGCUUCUCCGGGUCACCUCUCCCGUCAUACUUUGGUAUUUUUAGCAUAACGUAGUAGCUCGGGACCUGGGCAUUCCUUAGUUCUCUUGAGAAUGGCAGGUUCUCAUCAUCAUCGUCCAAGUCACAGGACCUCUGCUGCUCAUCAGAAUUGUAGUCAUCGGCCUCGUACCUUGGUUGUUGGUGAGAGGGUCCGGG
rnacentral:lncRNA from 1 species